AAUAUCUUUUUCUUGGCUUCCAUUGAUGCUAAGAACAUUAGUAUAUGUAUUUAAAUGUUACUGGUCACUGUAAGUUUGGGAGCUGAGCUAGCUGUAGUUUAAAAUCUACACUUGUGUAUGCACGUGCUUGAAUGAUGACAUGUGUGUGCUUAUCUCCAGCUUUAAUUACCAAUGCCUACACUUUGGUCUCUGUACAAAACGCAGAUGCUUUAGACAAGAAACCAUGAGUUUGCCGUAACUGCCAGGGCAUUGGUACUGUUCUUUGUGAUAUGUGCGGGGAUACAAGAAAAUGGAAAGCUCCCAACCGAAAACGAGCCAAAGAUAGGUUUGAGUUUACAGAAUGUCCGAACUGUUAAGGUGGAGGGUUUUCCCAGUCUGUUUAGGUACAUGUUUACCAAACAACAAAGGACUCCUUAGAAGGUGGUGCUCGUACAAUGUACAAUGGUUGUCUUCUUCCCAAUUCUUGAGCAGCACAAUGGCAAUAGUUAUGAUUAUAGAAGAGGAAGAAAAGUAAUACAUUGUCGACGCAUGUGAAGCUAUAGGAGAAUGGGAUGCUAGAACAUGUUUUUGUAAUGCUGCUAGAAAUGUGUUGUUAAUUCUUUACAAACCUAAGAGUUUUCUUCUUCCUUAGACAGUCUUGACGACUCAAUUUCACAUUCCCUACAUCGAUGACAACGAUACAAACUUCAGUCCUCAGACAUGAACCAGUCCCUGAGAAGAACCUCUUCCCUAUGCAUUUGAAAGAAAAAAAUGUAACACCUC